CCUACGGGCGGCUGCAGUGGGGAAUAUUGGACAAUGGGGGGAACCCUGAUCCAGCCAUGCCGCGUGUGUGAAGAAGGCCCUCGGGUUGUAAAGCACUUUCAGUGAGGAAGAACGCCUGGUGGUUAAUACCCAUCAGGAAAGACAUCACUCGCAGAAGAAGCACCGGCUAACUCCGUGCCAGCAGCCGCGGUAAUACGGAGGGUGCGAGCGUUAAUCGGAAUUACUGGGCGUAAAGCGCGCGUAGGUGGCUUGAUAAGCCGGUUGUGAAAGCCCCGGGCUCAACCUGGGAACGGCAUCCGGAACUGUCAAGCUAGAGUGCAGGAGAGGAAGGUAGAAUUCCCGGUGUAGCGGUGAAAUGCGUAGAGAUCGGGAGGAAUACCAGUGGCGAAGGCGGCCUUCUGGACUGACACUGACACUGAGGUGCGAAAGCGUGGGUAGCAAACAGGAUUAGAUACCCGAGUAGUC
rnacentral:rRNA from 1 species